rnacentral:rRNA from 1 species
CCGUACACAAAAGCGCAUGUGCUGUGAGCUCGAUGAGUAGGGCGGGACACGUGGUAUCCUGUCUGAAUAUGGGGGGACCAUCCUCCAAGGCUAAAUACUCCUGACUGACCGAUAGUGAACCAGUACCGUGAGGGAAAGGCGAAAAGAACCCCGGCGAGGGGAGUGAAAAAGAACCUGAAACCGUGUACGUACAAGCAGUGGGAGCACAGGUUUACCUGUGUGACUGCGUACCUUUUGUAUAAUGGGUCAGCGACUUAUAUUCUGUAGCAAGGUUAACCGUAUAGGGGAGCCGGAGGGAAACCGAGUCUUAAUUGGGCGUUAAGUUGCAGGGUAUAGACCCGAAACCCGGUGAUCUAGCCAUGGGCAGGUUGAAGGUUGGGUAACACUAACUGGAGGACCGAACCGACUAAUGUUGAAAAAUUAGCGGAUGACCUGUGGCUGGGGGUGAAAGGCCAAUCAAACCGGGAGAUAGCUGGUUCUCCCCGAAAGCUAUUUAGGUAGCGCCUCGUGAAUUCAUCUCCGGGGGUAGAGCACUGUUUCGGCUAGGGGGCCAUCCCGGCUUACCAACCCGAUG